GUUGGACCGCACACAAGUCUGUUGGAAUACAGCGGCAUAGUGGUGAGACCCCCGUAUAUGGUGCGGACGCCCAGCGCUUUGUGAUACAUUUUCGAAGAGUCGAGUUGUUUGGGAAUGCAGCUCAAAUUGGGUGGUAAAUUCCAUCUAAAGCUAAAUAUUGGCGAGAGACCGAUAGCGAACAAGUACCGUGAGGGAAAGAUGAAAAGCACUUUGGAAAGAGAGUUAACAGUACGUGAAAUUGUUGGAAGGGAAACGCUUGAAGUCAGACUUGCUUGCCGAGCAAUCGGUUUGCAGGCCAGCAUCAGUUUUCCGGGAUGGAUAAUGGUAGAGAGAAGGUAGCAGUUUCGGCUGUGUUAUAGCUCUCUGCUGGAUACAUCUUGGGGGACUGAGGAACGCAGUGUGCCUUUGGCGGGGGUUUCGACCUCUUCACACUUAGGAUGCUGGUGGAAUGGCUUUAAACGACCCGUCUUGAAACACGGACCAAGGAGUCUAACAUGCUUGCGAGUAUUUGGGUGUCAAACCCGGAUGCGUAAUGAAAGUGAAUGGAGGUGGGAACCGCAAGGUGCAC
rnacentral:rRNA from 1 species